AGAGACUGUGUAAUGUCUGUGGAUGACACGUAGCAGCCCGUUCAGCUCCUUCAGCUUGGGAAGCACUUUCAAACAGUCGAGCAGUAUUCGACUACAUAUAGGAUCCAAUUUCAAUACAUAUUCAUGCCUCCACCGUUGAAAUGCUCCUUUAAAGUAUCAGGUGAUUUAUAAGCCAAAAUAACGAUAAUACACAUAGAUCUAGAGCUGGCUAUUUCUAAAGCUAACGGAAUGCCAUUUAAAGGCCCACUAUGCAACUUUUUUAGCCAAAAUUACAUUACUUAUGCUGGUUGAGAGUUAUUCUGAUGGUUCUGCAACCAUUUCUGGGUCGUUUGGUGGGUGUGUCAUUGCCCCAUGUCGCCUCUCCAAGGAAAAAGCGCAUAUGCAACUUGCUCUGUUCGGACCGACACAAUCCGGAUGUGACGCAGCGGAAGUAUCCAAUCGCGCCUCGAAAAUGUAGUCAGAUUGUAGUUUUGAAAAUGCUUUGCGGCACAGACAAACACCCAAACAUGGUACCGGCUAGAUAUAAACAGCCAGUUGCGAGGCAAUUGUUGCAUUCAUCAUGGACCAAUCGACUGAUAAGGGACCCAAGAGGCGACUGUCGGUGGAACAAAAGAAGAAUGGACCAGAAAAGCGAUCAGACACGAGUGAUUUUUGGCUUGAUUUACCUUAAUAUAACAGGCUAAGAGUCAUUGCGAUUGUUCUAUUAUACAUUUUUGUUCGAUUGUUCGUUGUUUCGACUCCCCCUUGCGCAUCUUGGCGGAGAAAAGGAAUAUGUUUCUGCCGGCGACCCGCCGCCCACUCUCGAGGGAGUCUCGGGUCUCGCAAACUAACAAAUUGCUUUACGGCACAGACCCCCAAACACGGAACCGGCUCGAUAUAAACACAAGUAACUAAGGGAUAGUUACAUUCAUCAUAGAUCAGCCUACUAAAAAGAGACAGAGAAACCCAAUGUCGGAGGAACAGAAGAAGAGAAAAGGGAGACUGACCGACAGAGAGGCCAGACACGAGUAAACGCUGGGCAAGCUUUUCAGGAAUAGCGUGAACUGAAAGAAAAAGAAGACUGCAAAUCAGACGCCGACUUGGCCGCGUUGCUUUUGAAAUUGAAAGUACCCUUGGAUACAGACUGAAUCCCCGAAUCCAGGUUCUUGUUUAAUUAGAUUAUUAUGUUGGCCAACACAAUAAAUUCUCCC
ensembl:lncRNA